rnacentral:rRNA from 1 species
CAGUCGCGCGGGAAUACAGAGGGUGCGAGCGUUAAUCGGAUUUACUGGGCGUAAAGCGUGCGUAGGCGGCUUUUUAAGUCGGAUGUGAAAUCCCUGAGCUUAACUUAGGAAUUGCAUUCGAUACUGGGAAGCUAGAGUAUGGGAGAGGAUGGUAGAAUUCCAGGUGUAGCGGUGAAAUGCGUAGAGAUCUGGAGGAAUACCGAUGGCGAAGGCAGCCAUCUGGCCUAAUACUGACGCUGAGGUACGAAAGCAUGGGGAGCAAACAGGAUUAGAUACCCCUGUAGUCCCUGUCUCUUAUACA